rnacentral:pre_miRNA from 15 species
UAUGCAUGACAGUCAAAUGCUCAAAUGCCUAUGGUGGCUAUUCCUUCACCAUGGCUGUUUAAGCAUGUGCCAUUCAUUCGUC